rnacentral:rRNA from 1 species
CCCUUAGAUGUUCUGGGCCGCACGCGCGCUACACUGAUGCAUUCAACGAGUCUAAAACCUGCUCUGAUAGGGGUGGGUAAUUUUUUGAAUGUGCAUCGUGAUUGGGAUAGAUGAUUGCAAUUUUUCAUCUUCAACGAGGAAUGCCUAGUAAACGCAAGUCAUCAGCUUGCAUUGAUUACGUCCCUGCCCUUUGUACACACCGCCCGUCGCUCCUACCGAUUGAAUGAUCCGAUGAAUAUCAUGGAUUGAGGAUGCAAGCAGGUUCGCCUGUCUUCAUCUUCGAGAAGUGAAGUAAAUCUUAUCAUUUAGAGGAAGGAGAAGUCGUAACA